AUGUUGAGGAUGUGGAGAAAGAAAGAAGAGAUAGACAGAACAAGAAGGCAGGAAAAAGAGAGAGAGGAGAGGCGUAGGUGGGUGAAAAGAUAUGAGAAACCCUCGGUCUUCCUCCUCCUCUUCUGUACAAUCCGUUUGUGUUCGGAGCAGCUCUCCAAAACCCACACCAUCUCCCCCCCGCAUCAUCUCCAGGAGAGAACACAUUCAAAGGUGUGUGUGUGUGUGUGUGUGUUCAGCAGCUCUCCAAAACCCACACCAUCUCCAGGAGAGAACACAUUCAAAGGUGUGUGUGUGUGUGUGUGUGUGUGUUCAGCAGCUCUCCAAAACCCACACCAUCUCCGCCCGCAUCAUCUCCAGGAGAGAACACAUUCAAAGGAGAGCUCUAUCUGUGUGUAUGUAUGUAUGUGUGUGUGUGUAAAAAAAAAAAGACUGAGUGAGUGUGUGUGGGUGUGUGUGUGUGUGUUCAGCAUCCCUAUAAUCCAGGUAAUCCAGUGUACAAACAAGACCACAACCCUGACUGCACUGAUGUAUGCAAACUUUGGGUCUCUCUCUCUCUCACACACACACACACACACACACACACACACACACACACACACACACCUGCUUUCUGAGUGUGGUCUCAGUCAUGAUUAUCACCUUCAUCGUCACCACGGCAACAUCAUCCUCCUCCUCCUCCUCCUCCUCAUCAUCCGCUGCUGCCUCGUCUUCAGUCAUCUUCAAUCAUACAGCAGCAAUCACCAUCUUCACUCUUCACAGCCUCCGACUCAAACAUGCCUUUUCCCAAGCCAGGAUCCCAGGAUGAACACACACACACACACAGAGCUCGUCUUCACACAGAGAUAGAGCUCUUCCAAGCGCACAGCGGGGUGUGACCUGCCACGGUCGCUCACACCUGAUCGCUUUCAUCUGCGGAUGGGAGUUGGUGCCCUAAAAACAGCACCAGAACCUGGAGCAGAUCUCGGCCCGGUCCGGUUUGGGUCCGGGUCCGGGUCCGACCCGUUUCAGAUUCGGCUGCUGUGUGCUGCCAUGUCAGCUCUGAAGGGCUCAGAAUCUUAAGGUGAUAUGCUAAUGGGGUGAAACGCAGGAUGCUCUCCACUGCCCUCUGCUGGUAUAGAGUUGGCAUUGCGACUGCCUUUGACAUCCAAGGGCCUGAGUGGAAACAUGGCUUUAUGUCCGAGUCCUUACUCCGAGAUGAUCUCACAAUAACCAUAACACACAGGCACAAGCAUCUGUUACAAAACAGCACAAGUUACACACUGUUCUGAAAUGAUCCGUCUGAUGUGACACCUCCGGUAUUGUGUGCUCCGUGUUUUAAAUGGGCGGUAGUGCACUUAUGCCAAAGAAAGUACAGAGCUUCCCGUGAGCCCAAGUCCUUUUCUCUGAGCGUUACAAUUUAAAGGAUAGCAAAGUUACUUUUGUUGUUUUUUUUUUCCUGUCUCAUCAUUGAGUGCCAUGGUCAACAUCUCAUCACAAUCCAUUACUCUAAAGUGAGAACUUAAGAAUGCUCAGACUCAUGUGGUACCCAUAGUCAAGCAAGAGCCUAAGACAGGAAACGGAAUCAAUCUCGGUCCAAACAAAGAAACACUUUCAGUUUGCUUCUCAUCGUUUCAGUUCACCAACAGCUGAAAAUGUGACUGCAUUUAAAGGAAAGCGGAACCUGAACAGAACCGAACAGAACCUUCUAGAACCUCCGAAACAAUUUGAUAGUGGCACCUCCAGAGCUCAUGACAGAGACCCCAAGAAAAUGGUUUCCAGAAAAGAAAACCCAUAAAAAUAAAUAAAUAAAUACAUAAAUAAAAGCCA
rnacentral:lncRNA from 1 species